ACUGUUGAUCAUUUUCACCGGCUAAAGGGCCUUGGUUGGACAAAUACACUCCCUAGACAGGGGAAGAGAGACGGAGACGAAGCUCGAGAGAGGCCGAUAUAGAGCCCGAGCCGGGGCUGGGGGCGGGGAGGAAAAGAGCGCACGCUGCGGGGACUGCGUGCCUGCAGGGGCGCCACUACUUCUCAGGAACCUGAUCGUUUCUACUAUGAUUAUGACACUGUUCGUACCGUGGGACUUACUCUGGCCACCAUCAUGUUUGUUCUGGGCAUUCUCAUUAUACUCAGCAAGAAAGUGAAGUGUAGGAAGUCAG